rnacentral:misc_RNA from 1 species
UCAGGUAAAUAAAGGUGAAUUGUGGGAUAGUGAUUAACGGAAGUGAAAGGACUGUUACAAACAGUUCCUGAUGAAGAAUACAUUUUAUCAUUCGUAACAACUCUAAACCUAUUACGAUGUCUAAAAGUCGCCAUGACAUCGAUAAGGACACUGUUGUGGCCUACCACGACUUUAUCCAGGGCCAGAUUAAAGGUGAGCUAAAUGGUGUGAACCUAGGGCCAGGAAGGACCUGCUGCCUGAUAGCGGGGGUCGUGUUUGUUAUUGGGUUGGUACUAGGCAUCGUCGGUAUACUGGUGAUCACUCUGAGGAUGCGGCAUGUGUACCUGUGGGACUGGAACGAUCAGUUUCUAGGACCCGCCUUCAUCGUCCUGAUGUUGCUGUGUGUCGGACUGGCCGUGUUCCUGAUUGUGGAGGGAAAGCGUAGGGCCAACGCCUACAGGAGAGAUCUAGUGUUCCGGCCCAUUGGUGACUAUGGAGUAGCUGUUGUCCACAAAAGCAGACUGAAUUAUGAGGAGAAAUCAAGAGAUAACUUGAAGUCAGGAACAACACCACAUCAACCUAUUCAGCCCAAACCCUACCAGCCCAUUUCGUAUGAUCAUGAGGGUCGUCCUAGAAAAGCUGGCUAUGAGAACCGGGCAUAUGGAGAUACUGACCCCAGGGGCCCUCCUCCUCGAUAUGAAGAAAGAGGUCGCCGCCCUGAUGAUCGCAGAGGCCCAGACAGGCGAGGUCCAGAUGACAGGCGUAGACCUCCUGGUGAUCGACCAAGGGGACCACCAGAUGACCGUACACGACCUGACCGUCCACGCAUGCCCCACCCCAACCGUCGUGGUCCGCCCCGUGGACCAGAUGAUCGUCCCAGGAGACCACCUGGUGGACAAGAUGAUCGUCCGAGGAGACCACAAGGUGGCCCUGAUGAUCGACCGAGGGGACCCCCAGGAGAACGGAGAAGAGGACCUCCAGGGCCAGAUGAUAGGAGACGCCCACCAGGACCCCCUGGGGACCGGUACCGGGAUGACAGAAGGCGCAUGGAUGAAGAUCGACGAAGGGAGGAGAAAAGAAGGGAAGCGGAGGGUGAACCACAUAGAAAUGGACCCCCACCAGGUGACAAUGACACAACCCGUGUCCUGCUCAGCAGAGAUGGUCCGCAUGACACUGAGUCAGAGUUCUAAGUGGCCGGUAGAGAACAAUGAAAUAGACCCAAGAUUGGACCAAUGUGAUUGACACUUUAUUGAAAGUCACCUGAACAAUGAAAUAGACCCAAGAUUGGACCAAUGGAAUUGACACUUUAUUGAAAGUCAGCUGAACAAUUCAAGCUAGUCUGGCCAACUGGUUGCAUUUAAACCUGUUAGAUUCUGAGGAAGACAUGGUUGGUAGAAUUCAGAAAGGUUUCUGUGUAGGUUACAAGUACAGUCUGGUAGGAAAUGAAAUCUACAUAAAUAAGUUUGAUUUCUUUUGGUACAUUACUCGUAUUUUGAAUUUGGCGAUUGUGAUUGGUGCUUAAUUAAUGACAAAAAAAAUAUGGCUUCUCCUUAUUUGAUUAAAAAAAUAAUUUAAAAUGAGUAUAGAGAUUGAGUUUGUCAAGUACGUAUGUGAUGACCAUGUUGUUAGGACAGGAUCCUGUGGUAUUGCUGUACCUCCUCUGUGUACUGUACCUGUGUGGUCAGUCUGUACUGCUGUAGGUGGUCAGUAUGUAUUACUUAAGGGGGUCAGUCUGUAAUACUAUUAGUGGUCAGUCUACUGUAUCAGUAUGUUUAUAUACACGGAACAGGUAUGAGGAUGUCUAUGUAUUGUAACCUAUAUAAUAACUGCAGUGAUGGGACCAAUGUGUUUGAGAUAAUGAAGGAAUGGCAGCAAAUAUUAGUUAGGCAUGUUUGUACACAAGACCUCAUAGAACAGGAAUCUAAUAUACUAGUCUACAGGUUUCUACUCCUAACAGUGUAAUUCUACUCCUUACAUUGUAAUUCUACUCCUUACAUUGUAAUUCCACUCAUAUAAGUGUCAUUAUGACAGAAAGGAUUCUACUUGUUAAACACUUGUUGUUAAGGGAUUGAAUUUUAGAUUAUACUUACCUGUGGAAGCCACUGCAUCACAUUUUUACAGGAACUUUUUAAGAUGGUGUUAUUUUGACAAGCUCAUGACAAACAAAAGAUUUUGAGACAUAUAAGUGUUUGUGUAAUUACAGAUGAACACGUAGCAAAUAGUUCUUGUAUUUCAAAAUGUUCUUCGUUAUAAAAAAAAUAAAAAAUAAAAUGAUUGUAAAUUUGGUUUGGUUUGACCAGUUUAAUUUUGUCUGGUUCUUUUAGAAUAAAUAUGUUCUUAUAUAGAACUUCCAUCUUAAAUUGUUAUAAAUAUUUUACUAACUGGUAUGGUAGUCAAUGAGUGUAUGAUGUGUGUAAGAUAUGUCUGUAAGAAUUAAUUAGCAGUUUUAAUCAAAUGUCCUUAUCUGAGCCAAAUCUAUUACAUGGUGGGCUGUAAGCAGACAACAAUAACAUUUUGAUGCCAUUAUAAGUGAUGGAUACAUGGAAUGGCUGAAAAAAGGGUUAGCCUUUGAUUAUUUUAAUGGUGUAUGAAGAAUGUGAUAACGAAUCUCUUGUUGAAGGUAGAGACCAAAUUAUGAUUGUUUUUAAUAUACACAAAUUGUAUACGCAUUCUUUAUCAUUUCAUCUAUGCUUAUCAAUCAAGAACAAAGAAACAGUGUCCUAAGUAACUGGUACCCAAGUUACUUUUACUCUUGUAACAAAAACAAUUAGGUUAGGUACCGUUACUCAUGUAACAAUCUAGGUUACUGUUACUCUUGUAACAAACCAUCUAGGUUAUUGUUACUCUUGUAACAAACAAUUAAGGUUACUGUUACUUGGGUACCAAACUAUCUAAACAGGAUAUUAUAAAUGUAUCAUACUUCCCUAUAACUACUUAAUUCAGAAACCAUUACAGGCAAUUUUGUCACCAUCUAUAGAAAUUGAGCUCCAGUGUUGAUAUGUCAGAAUUAGGAGGUAAUGAGAAUAUGACUUUUACAGGUCACCAGCGAAUGUAAAAGGGGAUAGUGUACACACAAGCUAUAUUGUGGAGGUGUACAAUGCUAUAUCAUCCUGUGAUGGAAUAGUGUACACACAAGCUUUAUUCAUCGUUGAUCAACUUGACCUAGUGUUUUAUAAUAGUGUAUUUUCUAACUUUAUUUUUGUACCAUAUUUUAAUUGUACAUAUUUGUAAAUAUUUGGAAUUCAUGAUCAUUAAUCACUACAUUCAGUGCCAUUGUACAUUUAAAUCUAGACCAACAUUGUAGCAAUAACCAUUCCUCAUGUAUAAUCAAAGAUCAUCUCAAUAAAAAUUUAUACUAAUUGGUAAA